GAUCUCUUCCCUGUCUCCUACUAACUCUUUAAGUUUUCAGAAGAAAGAUGAAUCGAGUUAGAGUGAGGAGUAGGAUUUGGGGAAUCGAGUUCGAGUUUGAAAUUUACAGGAGGUGAAAGGGCUAGCUCUAGGACUUGAACUUGUUGCUCCACGUCUUGUUCACCCUCUUUGUAGGAAGAAGAGCACAUCUGAAUCGUCUUAUCACAUUUGCAAUGUUGGUGUCUUUUCCUUCCCGUUUUCAGUCUUUCAUUUCAAGUUCGAACCUGAAGCUUCGCCAUUGAUGAUCUCUCCAUUGGCUCUGAAAUCACCGUUGUUGGAUCAAAUUCCUCAGGUAAAGGCUCAACCUUUCCAUUAAAUUUAUCAGACAUCACAUCAACUUCGAUACUCCCAACCAUGAUUCCUCCGUCUAAGGAAAAAAACCUAGAAAACUUAUAGAAGUCUCUACAUCUGCUCCUUCACCGCCUCCUCAAGGUCCGCAACUCAAAUUCAACAAAUGGUCAAAACAAGGAUUUGCUCAUCUCCGAGAAAACAGUUAUUCAAUGGAAGCAUCCAUAGUUUUCACUCAGUUUUCAACUGCCAUUGCUGAGACUUUCCAAUCUCCCUCAUUGGUUAUUCUUGGAAGAUCUCGGAUCAGAGGAUUCUUAGGACAGAGCUUCAAUUGAUGCGGUGAUUAAGCAUCUUAGCUCCCCUGAUUUGAGAGUUGGUUGGGGUAUUCAUGUUGUGCAGGAGGUAAAAUUGUUGGCCAAGAAGGGAGAUCGAGUGAAUCUAGAUGUUGCCAUCAACGAGCUCGUUGGUCUUGGCUUGCAAAGGUAUUCCAUAACCUUCUUUUAAAAAAGAACAUGGUUUUGCCUUUGGCAAGAAAAACUGGGAAGUUGGUCCUUUAGCUGAACUGCUACACCUCAUUCAGGGUAUAAAGCCUAACCCCCAAAUGGCAGAUGAAGGAAUUUGGUCAUUGGAAACUUCAGGCAAGUUCUCUGUUAAAUUCUUCUAUGGAAAUAUCUCUCAAUUGCACGACAGGCAAAUUAUUGCUUUCCCUUGGACCAGAAUCUGGUGUUUCCACAUACCUCCAAAGAUUGGCUUUCUUGUAUGGACAGCAGCCCAUGGUAGAUGGAGGCCUGCCUAUGUUUCUUAUGUAAAGAGGUUCCUUAAUCCAUGGAUCACCUCUUCAUUCACUGCAAGUUUUCAUGUCAGUUGUAGGUUAUGGGCCUUAUGGCACUAUCCUGCUUUGGUAUUCAUCUAUGCUUUCCGAAUACAGUCUUACAAUUGCCGCAAGAUUGAACAAUUAAUGUUUUGAACAGGAGUAAACUUUUAUGUAACAGCUUCCCGGCUGCUAUCAUCUGGGCAAUUUGAAAGGAAAGGAACCAUCGCAUUUUUUAUAAUAAA